CUCUUCACUGCCAAUCAGCUGCCGCCUCCGAAGGACCUGAGACAGGAGAUCGGGGCAAAGAAAAGGGGCCGUCAGGAAUUGACACACAACCCCGUGUUUCUCUCCUCUCUCUCGUCAUGCUCCCUGGACCUCGUCCCGAUUCCGUCUGCCACCACUGGACCCGACCUGGAAGCUGGACUCCAGACCUAAAGGCAAGAGGUUCAAGAAAAACGAUUUGCCGCCUAUCAAAGAUCCAUGGCGGGCCCAAACAUCCUGGACUAACACUGGGACCCCGAGCAGUUACACCCAUCCCUUGCUCCACAAAUGAAGCAAAACAAACAAAAAAAAGAAACAAGUGUCCAAAAAAUAAAUCACUAUUUGUUGUAGCUCAAAAAAAAAACAAAAAAAAAACACAUGUUUGUAAAAUCCUUGAAUGGAAGAAUUAUUGUCACCCAAUGCACAGAGAGAGAAAAAACACAACAAAAACAAGUAAAAAAAAUACAACCAACCACCCUAUAUUGUCCCGACACAACAAAAGAAACAAGAAACAAAACUCCAAAACCAUUCCUAAAUGUUGUCCCAGUGCAAGUCCGUCCCCACAACGAAGUUCUUGUUGCCGAAUAGUCGUUUCCCCAAAAAUCUUCCUCAGUAUAUUUUCCCCCAAGGCUGUGCGCUCUGCCUACACACUUCUGAUGGUUGUUACUAUCUUCCAUGUUCCUCUUCUGCUCUAAAAUCCAGCCCCUUAUAUAGUCCUGCCUGGACCGCCAUUGGCUGUGGUGCUAACCAGUUGGGACUUCCUGUUGCUGGGGAGAAAAUACUCCACCCACAGUCAGCCACAACCACAUAAAACCAACUGAGGGUUGAGAUAAGCAGAUUCCAGUAAAAAAAAUAAAAAAAACAGUACGCAAAAACCCAUUUAAAAUUCGUCACUUGUGACAAAUGUUUAUCACAUUCCUAUUUACUUCCCAUCUCACCAUAAUUAUGUGCAAUUUAAAAUGUUUACAAUAUCAAAAACAUUAACCUCCAGAUAAAAUAAUGAACAAUGACUCAGCCAACAUAAAAAUGGUCCAAAGGGACUCUGUAUAACUUUCUGUCGCUCUGCGCAUUCUGUAGACUCUUGUAUUUUCUUCCGUCGUUUUGCUUUUGCAAGUAAAAAUGUAGCAAUGUUUUACUGGAGAAACAAUACACAGG